ACUUCCUGCACGAGGAGCCGGAGCCGCCGUGGCCGUUGGGCGCGGCGCGGCGCUCCCCGGUGCGCGGCAGCCUCCGGCCCUUCCUGCCCCGCCGCCGCGGCACCCCCGAGCCGCCGCCGCAGCCCGAGCCGCCGCCGCGCCGCGCCAGCUCCCUGGGCCGUGUCGGCCACUGAGCUUGCCCAGCCCCUCCCCCCUCCGGCCACUGACCCCCAACUCCGGCCACUGACCCCAACUCCGGCCACUGACCCCUCAUGGCCACUGACCCCUCAUGGCCACUGACCCCUCAUGGCCACUGACCCCAACUCCGGCCACUGACCCCAACUCCGGCCACUGACCCCAACUCCGGCCACUGACCCCUCAUGGCCACUGACCCCCCAUGGCCACUGACCCCCAACUCCGGCCACUGACCCCCAACUCCGGCCACUGACCCCAACUCCGGCCACUGACCCNCAGGUGGGGGUUUAUAGUUGAUAUCUUAUAUUUGAGAUAUUUUAUUUGAUAUUGCAUAGUUUGUAUUUGAUAUUGUAUGGAGUGUAUUUGAUAUUGUACAGGUUAUAUUUUAUAGUUUGUGUUUUAUAGUUUAUAGUUUAUAUUUCAACUUUCGGCCUCUGCUGGCCCGUCCCCCAGGUGGGGGUUUACAGUUUCUAUUUGAUAUUUUAUUUUUAAAUCUUAUUUUCUAUUUUCUAGUUUAUGUUUUCUAUUGUAUAAUUUAUAGUUUGUAUUUUAUAGUUUGUAUUUCAUCUCUCGGCCUCUGCCGGCC
rnacentral:lncRNA from 1 species